CAAGUCGAACGCUUCACCGGUUUCGGCCGGUGGGGAGUGGCGCACGGGUGAGUAGCGCGUGGGAACCUGCCCUGUUGUGGGGGAUAACCGAGGGAAACUUCGGCUAAUACCGCAUGCGCCCCGACGCGAGUCGGGGGAAAGAUUUAUCGCAGCAGGAGGGGCCCGCGUCGGAUUAGCUGGUUGGCGGGGUAACGGCCCACCAAGGCGAUGAUCCGUAGCUGGUCUGAGAGGAUGAUCAGCCACACUGGGACUGAGACACGGCCCAGACUCCUACGGGAGGCAGCAGUGGGGAAUAUUGGACAAUGGGGGCAACCCUGAUCCAGCAAUGCCGCGUGAGUGAUGAAGGCCUUCGGGUUGUAAAGCUCUUUCGCCCGCGACGAUGAUGACGGUAGCGGGAGAAGAAGCCCCGGCUAACUUCGUGCCAGCAGCCGCGGUAAUACGAAGGGGGCGAGCGUUGUUCGGAAUCACUGGGCGUAAAGGGCGCGUAGGCGGCCCUCCUUGUCGCGUGUGAAAGCCCCGGGCUCAAACUGGGAACGGCGCGCGAAACGGGGGGGCUGGAG
rnacentral:rRNA from 1 species